UACGUAGGGUGCGAGCGUUGUCCGGAAUUAUUGGGCGUAAAGAGCUCGUAGGCGGUGUGUCGCGUCGGUCGUGAAAACUUGGGGCUUAACUCUGAGCUUGCGGUCGAUACGGGCAUCACUUGAGUUCGGCAGGGGAGACUGGAAUUCCUGGUGUAGCGGUGAAAUGCGCAGAUAUCAGGAGGAACACCGGUGGCGAAGGCGGGUCUCUGGGCCGGUACUGGACGCUGAGACGCGAAAGCGUGGGGAGCGAACAGG
rnacentral:rRNA from 1 species